rnacentral:rRNA from 1 species
CCUAGCGGCGGACGGGUGAGUAAUACUUAGGAAUCUGCCUAUUAAUGGGGGACAACAUCUCGAAAGGGAUGCUAAUACCGCAUACGCCCUACGGGGGAAAGCAGGGGAUCACUUGUGACCUUGCGUUAAUAGAUGAGCCUAAGUCGGAUUAGCUAGUUGGUGGGGUAAAGGCCUACCAAGGCGACGAUCUGUAGCGGGUCUGAGAGGAUGAUCCGCCACACUGGGACUGAGACACGGCCCAGACUCCUACGGGAGGCAGCAGUGGGGAAUAUUGGACAAUGGGGGGAACCCUGAUCCAGCCAUGCCGCGUGUGUGAAGAAGGCCUUAUGGUUGUAAAGCACUUUAAGCGAGGAGGAGGCUCUUUUGGUUAAUACCCAAGAUGAGUGGACGUUACUCGCAGAAUAAGCACCGGCUAACUCUGUGCCAGCAGCCGCGGUAAUACAGAGGGUGCGAGCGUUAAUCGGAUUUACUGGGCGUAAAGCGUGCGUAGGCGGCUUUUUAAGUCGGAUGUGAAAUCCCCGAGCUUAACUUGGGAAUUGCAUUCGAUACUGGGAAGCUAGAGUAUGGGAGAGGAUGGUAGAAUUCCAGGUGUAGCGGUGAAAUGCGUAGAGAUCUGGAGGAAUACCGAUGGCGAAGGCAGCCAUCUGGCCUAAUACUGACGCUGAGGUACGAAAGCAUGGGGAGCAAACAGGAUUAGAUACCCUGGUAGUCCAUGCCGUAAACGAUGUCUACUAGCCGUUGGGGUCUUUGAGACUUUAGUGGCGCAGCUAACGCGAUAAGUAGACCGCCUGGGGAGUACGGUCGCAAGACUAAAACUCAAAUGAAUUGACGGGGGCCCGCACAAGCGGUGGAGCAUGGUGGUUUAAUUUCGAUGCAACGCGAAG